rnacentral:rRNA from 1 species
CGACGAUGCUGCCGGGAUGAGCCAUUUCGAGAAUUUGGGGAUUGCUGAUUAGCGGUCUUUCGGGAUUGCUUUUUGGUGAGAACCAAUUUAAUCGCAGUGGCUUGAACCGGGCAAAAGUCGUAACAAGGUGGCUGUAGGUGAACCUGCUGCCGGAUCAUUAUCGAUCAACCAAAACACUAGGAGAAGGAUCUGACUGGACCUUUUCCGUGGAAUGUUGAAUUCAUUCCUUACAGUCAAUAGUCCAAGAGAGUGCCGUGAUAUUGGCAUGAUACUUACUGGUGUUGUUCCCACCGGUUUGUAUGCUUAUUCUUGGGCGAAAAAACGGCUCUGUUGGCUUCUAAGAUUCUCUGAGCAGUUGUAUGCCUACGUCCGUGGCUGCGUUGAAGAGAAUCGGUACGUGGUCUUCGUGAUCGCGAGAAUCAAUGAGUACCAGUUAGGUGCCGCCAACAAAAACCCUAUUUUUGAACUUUUUACAAAGAAACAUUUCUAGUCUUAUCGGUGGAUCACUCGGUUCAUAGAUCGAUGAAGAACGCAGCCAACUGCGAUAUAUGGUGUGAACUGCAGAUAUUUUGAACACCAAGAAUUCGAAUGCACAUUGCGCCACUGGAUUUUAUCCUUUGGCACAUCUGGCUCAGGGUCGUAAAUACAAAACGAAAGCAAAUUCGUUGUAUAUGACAAAUUCAUGGCAAUACUAGUUAGGGUGAUAUUCCGCUAGUGUCAUGUUCUUGUGAAGGGAUUUGCCUACCGGAUGAUUUUGGCUGCUGUUUCAUGUCUUUGCUAAUUUAGACGGAUUCGGCGGCUAUUUCACUCUGGAUGUUUAUUGGUUUCGAUCUUCCGACCUGAGCUCAGUUGUGAUUACCUGCUGAACUUAAGCAUAUCAGUAAGCAGAGGAAAAGAAACUAACAAGGGAUUCCCUUAGUAACGGCGAGUGAAA